AGAGUGAACGCUGGCGGCAGGCCUAACACAUGCAAGUCGAACGGCAGCACGAGAGAGCUUGCUCUCUUGGUGGCGAGUGGCGGACGGGUGAGGAAUACGUCGGAAUCUGCCUUUUUUGUGGGGGGAUAACGUAGGGAAACUUACGCUAAUACCGCAUACGACCUACGGGUGAAGGCGGAGGACCUUCGGGCUUCGCGCAGAAAGAUGAGCCGACGUCGGAUUAGCUAGUUGGAGGGUAAUGGCCCACCAAGGCGACGAUCCGUAGCUGGUACUGAGGAGGAUGAUACAGCCACACUGGGACUAGAGAACCACGGCCCAGACUCCGACGGG
rnacentral:rRNA from 1 species